UUGGGAAAGGCCGAACUCGAACCCUCCCGCCAGUUGGCGCCCGGGUCCCGCUGGGAUUGCGCCCGGGGUCCUUACCGUGCUCUCAGCCCCUCGUAGCACUGAGAAAAUCCAAGGCUACACUGGAGCGCGCGGUCUCCAAAGACUACACUUCCCCCCAGGCCCCCCAGGAAGUAGCCUCCCCCAGAAAAACAGCAGAGACUUGAGUCCCAAACCCUGCUGAGAUCCAGGGUCGAGUCUAAACUCUUCAGCUACCAGGGCGUGGCGCUUGGUGAGAAUUUUCCAGCCAGUGCUGGCGUGUGGCUAAGCCCAGACCGCUCCGAGUGGCUGGUGAGAGGGAUCACCAGGGGAGGACCUUCAGGUUGUGAAGCCAUCAAAGACAUGAUGAGGUUUCCACGUGGUCCCACUCGCGUCUCAGGAAGCCAAGAAUGCUAGAUGCGAGAGGCGCUGGGUGCGGAGUCCGCUCCGCGACUUCAGGGGUUGGGCUUAGCAAGACAUUUGAACGCUGAACCCCCGUGAUGCUGCUGGACUGGGCACCAGCCACACCCAAGCGCGGAUCACGCGGGACCCGGGACGCUCCCCCCGCCCCCAACCCAGCGCCUCCGCAGGUUCCCCAGAGCGCUACGUGCCAAGAAGGUUGUCAGAUGGAGUUAGUCAAAGGGAUGCCAUUGACUUUCGAGCGCUGGGGAUUGACUUUCAGCCAGCUCGACCACGACCACGAAGUGCGUACUUGCAGCCACAGAAAGAAGUAAGUGAGAGUUGUUUUGGAUGCGCGCAGAGCCACGUGUCAUCCACAAGAAGGAAUUCUGAGUCCGUGGCUCUGGAAAUGUUAAGACUGGCAGUCUGCAGACCGAUCUGUUUUUAUGUUUGUCACAACGUUCUUUAAAAAACAAAAAAACAAAACAAAAAACCCACUUGGAUCAUAAACUGUAAACCUCUGUCACUCUGGACAAGAAAGGAAGAGAAACUGUAUACUUUUCUUGACUCUGAGGGUUUUUUUUUUUUUCACGAUUGUAUUUAUAAUUCAGAAAGCCAAUAAAAGAAGCAAAUUAGAAGUUAGGUCUGUGUAUUUGAUUAACUGCAGAGUCCCGUAUUGAUAUUUAAACGUUGUGAAGAGACAAAGCUGGAUUCUUGAUGGGCAUGUUGUUAUUGUAUUUCCCCUUAAAUGGCUCUCGGUAGCCACAGACAUGCUUUCAAGGAUUGCUAGGCAAGAAGUUUUGAGUGAAGUCAGCUGGCAAGCAACAGGGAAAUAAAGCUUGAAUCUUUCAAAGCUGCCAAAAGCUGCCCAGGCCCCGUAGUUU